UACGAAGGGUGCAAGCGUUACUCGGAAUUACUGGGCGUAAAGCGUGCGUAGGUGGUUUGUUAAGUCUGAUGUGAAAGCCCUGGGCUCAACCUGGGAAUUGCAUUGGAUACUGGCAGGCUAGAGUGCGGUAGAGGGUAGUGGAAUUCCCGGUGUAGCAGUGAAAUGCGUAGAGAUCGGGAGGAACACCAGUGGCGAAGGCGGCUCACUGGACUGGUAUUGACGCUGAGGUGCGAAAGCGUGGGGAGCAAACAGG
rnacentral:rRNA from 1 species